CCUCUUCUCUUGCUGCCUGACUACCGCCACACUCCACAAGGCCAGGUUCCAGUGGAUACUCCGCGAUCAACUCCGGAUCAUCUCCGCACUCAGGCAUUGCUUUUAUUUCUGUUUCCUCGUGCAAUUGCUGGAAAAUAAUGAUUCGAUUAGGUUCAUAUUAACACAUUACUUGCAGCGGCAGUAAAUUUCUGUACCUGAAAACCACAGAGUCCUAACUCCAAUUUUAAUUCAGCAGUAUAAUUGAUAGGUUUCAUAUCUGUUUUAGUGAAAUAAAUUGAUGAUUAUAUGCAAAACCGUUGAUCCCUACGGAUGCAAAGAAAAAAGCAACUGAUAGAAAUUUUGUAUUUCUCAUGUGAAAGUAGAUAACAUUUCUUAUUUUUCAUACUCCUUGACGCUAUACUUGUAUAUUUGUGUGUAAUUUUUCGUAAAAAAAAAUAUUUUUUCUUUUUUUUAAAAUGAAACAAGCCACGGUGCAUAAUACGUAAUUGUCAUGUGCUACUGAUUGGUAAAUUGAAUAGAGAUCAAUCAAACACUGUAUUCAUAUCGUGUUGCUGUUUGUUAAAAGAAUUGAAAUAAAUUGCCAGGUAUGUUAAUGAGCAACGGUCAAUACAACUUUGGCAAAAGUAGUAAGACUAGCUUUGCAAAAUAAGAAGAGAGAGAAAAAAAGAAAAGAAAAAAAACCUGUCAAAUAAUUUCAGCUUCUCAAUGAUCUAAUUUUGAAACAUGGAUCUCUAAGUCACUGCCAAAUAUGAAGAGAAAGAAAAAAAAAGAAAACAGUCAUUGACUAUUAUCUGUUACAGCAUGAUUAGUAUAAAUACAUUCAUUAAUGAUUCUCCAUUCAUUUGAAACAAAGAGAAAAAAAAUACACAACAAACAAACAAAAAAUUAAUAUUAUAAGGUAAUUCAUGUAUAAAUUAUUCAUAUAAUUAUUAUACAAUAGAAAUAAAUACGAGUAAUUCAAAACAGGAACCCAACGAUCGAAGCUUACUUGGAUAUCCCUUUGCAAAAUUAUUUUCAAUAAUCUGGAGUUAGAAUUCUAUGGGUUUCAUGGCAAAGAUAUAAAAAUGACAGAACGAUCAGUGAUUGAAAUUGUGAAAUGUGACAAGGGAGAAAAUUUUUAAUGACUCACAAUUUUUCUUUGAAUCCCUUCAGAGUCUCUUUUCUCCCACCUUUCUUUUUCUAUGUCAACACCUGUCUGCUCAUCGGAGUUAUCUUCUUCGGAACUUCUCCGCAUGAGCAUCAAGUCAUAAUCGGUAUAGGCUCGCCUUGUAAAACUCGAACUUCAUCUUCCGGCAUAUCUUCCAUCAUCAGGCUACCACACGUACGUUUUGCUGUAUUAAAUGAAUCUGUUCUGAACAAACGGUGCAUCUCUAUUUCUGAAAAAGCAAAAGUUUGUGUUGUUUCCUCCGCACCCAAUAAAAAUAGAAGUUCAAUAAUCAAUUCGUCAUACGGAAACAAGACCUACAAGAUCUAUAGCCCAGCAUAAAACUUUAAUGAAGAUCUUUCUCUCCUUGAGAUUGUCCAGAGGGCUCGUCGCUUGAAGAUUUUUUGUUAGCGACCAUGUGAUGAUAGGGAAGGGUAUUCUUAGCCCCGAUUAAUAUAUCGCAAUAUUCUUUGCCAACUAAGGUUCUCAACGUAUGC